GAUUGGCUGAGGGAGCGGCUAGCCGCUCGUACUUGUCAGUGCGGCGAGGCACGUUGUGGUGGCUGGCUGGCCGGCCGGCGUGGUAGCUGCGGUUGUGGAGACGCCGGCGAGGAGGCAGUGACGGUCGGGACAAGGUUGGAUGGAUGGCUUCCAAGUGUUUAUCUUUUAAACAGCCUUGGACACAGUAUUUUUCCUCAGCUGGGGAUAUUAUUGGUUAAGGCCUGGUGAACUCUGAUCCAUUGCUGUGUGGCUUUGUUUCAGUGCGUGCUGGCAGCCUGUUGGAGGCAGGAUUGACAGACGACGCUGCACAGGAGUUCAAUCAUGACUGCUGCGCUUCAUGCCAGAGACUGGGUUUUGUUGUAGGUAAUAAUUUUAUAUCCUCGGCUGGAAAGACAUGGAGUUCACAGUGAUGUGCUAAGCCUACAAUCUCCCCUCUCCCAAGAUCCAUAAUUCCAGUGCCACUUCCCCUGGAGGGAUCGCAAGGACUCUGUGUGGCAGGAGGACAGCUUCACUAGAGAGAAAAUGCCCCCCAAAGCACUGAUGCGCUUCUCUAUGGCGGACUACAUCAUCUUUGCCCUGCUUCUCAUCUUCUCCUCAGUCAUCGGACUUUUCUACGCACUAAGUGGCGGGCGGCAGAGGACCACCCAGGAGUUUCUGCUGGCUGGGCGCAGCAUGACCUUUGUGCCGGUGGCCCUGUCCCUCCUUGCCACCUUCCAGUCAGCCGUGGCCAUCCUGGGCGUUCCGGCUGAGAUCUACACCAACGGCACUCAGUACUGGUUCCUCGGGUGUUCCUACUUCCUCGGACUCCUCAUCCCAGCUCACGUCUUUCUCCCGGUGUUUUACCGGCUUGGCCUCACCAGCACUUAUGAGUACCUGGAACUGCGGUUUAAUAAGGCGACAAGACUGUGCGGGAUGCUGACUUUCAUCUUUCAAAUGGUAAUUUACAUGGGAGUAGUCCUCUAUGCACCUGCCCUUGCCCUAAAUGCAGUGACUGGCUUUAACUUGUGGGGAGCAGUACUAGCUAUGGGCCUGGUCUGUACACUCUACACAGCAGUGGGCGGGCUAAAAGCUGUAAUUUGGACCGACGUGUUUCAGACGCUGGUGAUGUUUUCUGGGCAGCUGGCUGUCAUCAUCAUUGGUGCAAAGCAGGCAGGGGGCAUCGGAGAAGUGUGGCAAUCCGCCGUGAGGGGUGGCAAGAUAUCGGGAAUCGACCUGAACCCUGACCCUUUUGAGCGCCACACCUUCUGGACGCUCGGCUUCGGCGGCGUGUUCAUGAUGCUGGCGCUGUACGGAGUGAACCAGGCCCAGGUUCAGCGGUACCUCAGCUCGCGCUCCGAGAUGCAGGCGAAACUGUCGUGCUAUGCAGUGUUCCCAUGCCAACAGAUAGUCCUAGCCAUGGGAUGUCUGAUGGGUCUGGUCAUGUACGCUCGCUAUGGAGAAAACAGUCCGCUGCAGCAGGGUUACGUCAGCGCCUCUGAUCAGAUGGUUCUAUAUUUCGUCAUGGAUGUUCUUCAGGAUUAUCCUGGUUUGCCAGGGCUCUUCAUCGCCUGCUUGUUCAGCGGAGCACUCAGCACUAUAUCAUCUGCAUUCAGUUCACUGGCUGCUGUGACCAUGGCCGACCUUAUUAAACCUCACUACCCAGACAUGUCUGAGCGUCGAGCCACACUCAUAUCCAAGUGUCUCGCCUUUGGUUAUGGAAUACUCUGCCUUGGAAUGUCGUACAUCGCAUCGCUGAUGGGCUCAGUGCUGCAGGCGGCUUUGAGCAUAUUUGGAAUGAUUGGCGGCCCCUUACUUGGCACUUUCUGCCUGGGAAUGUUCUUCCCCAUGGCUAAUUCUAUGGGUGCAAUCUUGGGCUUGGUGGCUGGUUUGAUAAUGGCAUUUUGGAUCGGAAUCGGCAGCUUUAUUUCCAAACCAAUGCAGCUCUCAUUCGUAAACACUACCAGUGUCCCAAAUGUCACCAUCUCUGUGACAUCUACUGCCGUAACAAUGGCCAAUGCAACACUGGCAGUGAGUGCAGGUCCCAUAGGCCUGAAGAAGUUCUACAGUCUCUCAUAUUUAUGGUACAGUGGGUUCAAUGCCGCCAUCGUGGUUAUCGUGGGGCUGCUGGUCAGUUUCCUAACAGGUCCAAUGAAAGGAGAGGAUGUGAACCCUUCUACUGUGUUUCCUGUUCUCCAUUAUCUGCUCUUCUUCUUGCCUAAGCGAUACAGGGAGAAGCUGACCUGUGGAGUCCGAUAUCAGCAAGCGAACACCGAUUCCAGCCUCCAGCAUUCACUCGUGGUGCACAAGGAGUUGAAUGGAGUGGUGAGCCACAACACGAGUUGGGUGGAUCAGAAGCAGGGGCUCGACGAGGAGUUGGACAAGGACCUGGAGAUAGUCAAGAGGGAUCUAGCGGUGGAGGUCCUCCAGGAAACACCUUUGUAACACUAAAUCCUGAGCGGCAUUGGUACCCAGCUGUGUGAACCAACCAUUACUCUGAGCGCGAAAUAAGUGUGCCUCUUCAAUAAAACAUAAGAAAGAAAAUUGCAGCUGCGCGGUAACAAUGGCUACGUGCAUGGGAGCAUUUCAGCUACCGCUCGGUCUCGCACCCGCGCAGCUGACGGGGAACAGUGUUCGGAAUCCACCCCAGUGUUGCAUAUUUCCACACUUUCCUAGAUAUUCAAGCAUCCAUCGACCUUGGUCCUGAAUAUUCUCAGUAGCUGGACCAUUGCACCAAUCGGAUCGUUUGCUAGAAUGUGGCAGUGGCAAAAUCCGAACAGAUGAUAACCCUGCUUGGUCGAGAGUCUUCUAUCCACCAUAAGGCCCAGAGGAUUGCUAAUAAUUCUGUUGCAAAGACAGAAACACCAUCUGAAACCCGGUGACCAAUCUCAACUCCAAGUAGAGACACGUACAUCCCAAAUCCUGCCUUACUGCUCUCUGGGUCCACUGAGUCAACAGCAAAAAUCUUCAGAUAAGAUCCCCAUUUAUUAUUUAAAUAUUAAUUUAUGAUCGGCGCUGUUGAAAUUGCUCUGCUUCUUUGAAGCUGAAAAAGGAGGAAUAGGUCUACUUCUGGUUCUGGCAAAAGCCAAAAAGGAAUGGCUGGCAAGCAAAUUUGGUCAUCUAUGUCUUCCUCAAUCAGUUUCAAUUUCAUAGCCUGGUUAUUAACCAAAGUUAGCCUAGUUAUAAACUAGUAGGUAAAUUAUUGGAAGGAAUACUAAGGGAUAGGAUCUACAAGUACUUGGAUAGACAGGGACUUAUUAGAAACAGUCAGCAUGGCUUUGUGCAUGGUAGGUCAUGUUUAACCAAUCUAUUAAAGUUUUUUGAGGAAGUUACCAGGAAAGUGGAUGAAGGGAAGGCAGUGGAUGUUGUAUAUAUGGACUUCAGUAAGGCCUUUGACAAGGUCCCAUAUGGGAGGUUAGUUAGGAAGAUUCAGUUGCUAGGUAUACAAAGAGAGGUAGUAAAUUGGAUUAGACAUUGGCAUAAUGGGAGAAGUCAAAGAGUGGUCGUGGAGGAUUGCUACUCUGAGUGGAGGCCUGUGACUAGUGGUGUGCCACAGGGAUCAGUGCUGGGUCCAUUGUUAUUUGUCAUCUAUAUCAAUGAUCUGGAUGAUAAUGUGGCAAAUUGGAUCAGCAAAUUUGCUGAUGAUGCAAAGAUUGGAGGUGUAUUGGACAGUGAGGAAGGUUUUCAAAGCUUGCAGAGGGAUUUGGACCAGUUGGAGGAAUGGGCUGAAAAAUGGCAGAUGGAGUUUAAUGUGGACAAGUGUGAGGUAUUGCACUUCAGAAGGUCAAACCAAGGUAGAACAUACAAGGUAAAUGGUAGGACACUGAGGAGUGCAGUAGAACAAAGGGAUCUGGGAGUACAGAUACAUAAUUCCCUAAAAGUGGCGUCACAAGUAGAUAGAGUUGUAAAGAGAGCUUUUGGUACAUUGCCUUUAUAAAUCACAGUAUUGAGUAUAAGAGUUGGAAUGUAAUGGUGAGGUUGUAUAAGACAUUGGUGAGACCGAACUUGGAGUGUUGUGUGCAGUUUUGGUCACCUAAUUACAGGAAGGAUAUUAAUAAGGUUGAAAGAGUGCAGAGAAGGUUUACAAGGACGUUGCCGGGACUUGAGAAACUGAGUUACAGAGAAAGGUUGAAUAGUUUUGUAUUUUAUUCCCUGGAGUGUAGGAGAAUGAGGGGUGAUUUGAUAGAGGUGCAUAAAAUUAUGAUGGGUAUAGAUAGAGUGAAUGCACAGGGAAGAAAAAGAGAAACAGAGGUCAUGGGUUAAGGGUGAAGGGGCAAAGUUUAAAGGGAACAUUACAGAGGGCUUCUUCACGCAGAGAGUGGUGGGAGCAUGGAAUGAGCUGCCAGAUGAAGUGGAGAAUGCGGGCUCACUUUUGCCAUUUAAGAAAAAUUUGGACAGGUAUAUGGAUGAGAGGGGUUUGGAGGGAUAUGGCCCAGGUGCAGGUCAGUGGGGCUAGGCAGAAAAAUGGUUUGGCACAGCCAAGAAGGGUCAAAAGGCCUGUUUCUGUGCUGUAAUGGUUCUAUGGUUCAAAUCUAAAAAUGGAUAUCUUUUAAUUUUACUUUGGCGCUCCAACGUCUCCUGCAAAAGUCAUUUUGAUGGCCAGCUGUGAUUGAAGCCAUUUAGUUUUGCCCAAUACUGCAGGCCCAACUUAACUCAUCUUAAAUGUAGAGGCACUUCUCCCAUCUCCACACAUAAUGCAGGGACUGAUGUUGUUGUGAAAGCUCCACAACAGAGUCUAAGUGCUUUGGACUGCACAGUGUCUAAUUUUUCAAGAACUGCCGUAGCAGUGGAACCAUAAGCAAUACAACCAUAAUCAAUAAUUGAUCUAAUCAUAGCUAGAUAUAUUAAGUACAUAGUUUCCCGCUCUGCUCCCCAGUCACAUCCAGCAAUACUUCUCAUAACAUUUAGAACUUCCUCGCACUUUCCAAUUGUUUCAUCUAUAUAGACCCUCCAAGUAAAUCUUCCAUCAAGCCAGACACCUAAAAACUUGAAUACCUUGUCUUUCUAAUGGAGAACCAUAUUGACACAAUUCACAAUCAAGAAUCUUUCUUCUAAAGCCAAAAAUCAGAUAGUUGGACUUAGAAGCAGAAAUCCCAAAACUCCAUUUAUUUGCCCAGUUUUCAACUGAUCUUAAAGCCUUUUGUACCUGCUUUAACAUAUACUUGAUGUUUCUUCCUCUUUUCCAGAUUAUACCAUCAUCUGCAAACAACAAUUUGCCAAAUCCUGUCCCUACCUGCUCAAAGAUAUCGUUUACCAUGACAUUAAAAAGAACUGGACUAAUGACGCUUCCUUGAGGGUACCGUUACCUAUUGUAACUGACUUGGAGCUUGUUCCGCCUAUUUUUACUUGAAUUGCCUUUUUUAAAGAAAAUCUUUGAUUCAAUUAAACAUUCUACCUCUAAUUCCCACAUCAUAGAGUUUAAUUAAUGAACCAUCCUUCCAUAGUGAGUCAUAUGCUCUUUCGAUAUCUAGAAAUACACUUACCUUUACUUCCCUGUUUUGAAACACUUUUUUAAUAUCAUGAUCUAAAAGGGCAACAGAUUCCAUUGUUGAUCUUCCAGUUCUAAAACCAUUUUGAUAGGCAGCAAAAUGUCCCUUAUUUUCUAAAAAAUAAACAAGUCUGUUGGUGACCAUUCGUUCCAUAGUUUUACAAAGCACUGAUGUUAAAGCUAUAGCCCGAUACAAGCUAGGACUAGAUGUGUCUUUACCUGGCUUUAAAACUGGAACUAGCACCGCAUGCUUCCAUUCUACUGGUAAUUCUCCUCCUUUCCACACCGAGUUAAACAAAGCUAGCAUUUCUAUUAAUACAGAGUCAUCUAAAUGCUUAAGCAAUUCAUAACACAGUCCAUCCCUACCAGGAGAAGUGUUUGAACCUGAUUGGAUAGCUUCAUGCAAUUCCUGAAGGGAGAAAAAACAAAUUUAUGGUGGUAUUAUCAUUCAAACUCUUGUUCAGUUCCCAAGUUUCCACUAACAUGCUUUCCUUUCUCAAAUCAUCUCUCUCUCCAGAACUGUGUAACACUUAGAACACCUCUACAAACAUAUCAGCCUUUUCUUUGUUGGUUACGUCUUCAAUACCUCCUUCCAGCGAAGCUAGGAUAGAUGGUUUUUUGUAUAUCCCUGACAUUCUGUGAAUGAUCAUCCAUAGCUGCUUUAUAGGUGUCUCAGGGCCCAGGGUUCCACAAAAUCUUCUACAACUAUCCCUCUUUGCAUUUUUAAUUACUCUCCUUGCUCUUUCCUUUUUAUACUCCAUAACAUUAUCUAACACUGGGUACUUUCUUAAUUUCCUGUAAGCUCCGUUCCUGUUUCUUACUGCUAUAUCACAAUUUUUAUUCCACCACGGAACUAAUGCUCAAGCCUCAGGAACAUCCUGUAGUAGAAUAUUAAACUGAACAACUUUAUGGAUUAUAGAACAGAGGGAUUCAUUCCACUCGUCUAUGGAGCCCUCACUAUCAAUCUCUUCUAUUAUAUCCACAGCUUUCUCCUAGUAGCCAUCCCAAUGGGUCAAUGAAAAAUUAUACCUAGCAGCCCUCUCCUCAACUUCUACUAUCAAAUUUCUACCUAAUCUACAUAAUAUAGGAUAGUGAUCACUUCCCAGUGUGUACCUGUCCAUAACAUCCCAUUCCCCAAUCCUGGCUAAGUUUGAGGAAGUGAUUGAUAAGUCUAAGUGACUACAAGUAUUAUUGACAAUAUUAAAUCUGGUAGGCCUUCCGUUGUUUAGAAGUACCAUGUUGUAUUUAUCUAGAAACUAUCACCGCUCCAUUACAAUCUUUACUUUC